GACGAACCGAGCGAACGUUAUUCGGAAUCACUGGGCUUAAAGGGCGCGUAGGCGGGCCGUCAAGUCAGGGGUGAAAGCCUCCAGCUCAACUGGAGAAGUGCCUCUGAUACUGGCGGCCUCGAGGGAGGUAGGGGCGUGCGGAACUUCCGGUGGAGCGGUGAAAUGCGUAGAUAUCGGAAGGAACACCGGUGGCGAAAGCGGCGCGCUGGACCUCUUCUGACGCUGAGGCGCGAAAGCCAGGGGAGCGAACGGG
rnacentral:rRNA from 2 species